rnacentral:rRNA from 1 species
AUUUCAACAAUCUUAUGAUCGUUUUCGAGAGUCGAGUUGUUUGGGAUUGCAGCUCAAAAUGGGAGGUAAAUUUCUCCUAAGGCUAAAUAUUGGCGAGAGACCGAUAGCGAACAAGUACCGUGAGGGAAAGAUGAAAAGAACUUUGAAAAGAGAGUUAAACAGUACGUGAAAUUGUUGAAAGGGAAACGAUUGAAGUCAGUCAUACCAACGGGAAAUCAACCUUUUGAGUAUGAAUUUUGGAGCUUUAAAGAGUUUCAAAACCUUUGGGUUUCAUUAUUUGUGCUUUUUUGGCGUACUUUCUCGUACGGUAGGUUAACAUCGAUUUUGAACGUUAUAAAAUGACUGGAGGAAUGUGUAGCUUCCAUUAGAAC